rnacentral:rRNA from 1 species
GUCUACGGACAUACCACCCUGAACACGUCCAAUCUCGUCUGAUCUCGGAAGCUAAGCAGUGUCGGGCCUGGUUAGUACUUGGACGGGAGACAGGGAAGAAUCUUAUUUAUCUUUAACA